AUUGAACGCUGGCGGCAGGCCUAACACAUGCAAGUCGAACGAUUGGCGGACGGGUGAGUAAUGUCUGGGAAACUGCCUGCUGGAGGGGGAUAACUACUGGAAACGGUAGCUAAUACCGCAUACCAUCGAAUGUGCCCAGCUGGGAUUAGCUAGUAGUUGGGGGAAAGGCUCACCUAGGCGACGCUCCCUAGCUGGUCUGAGCGGAUGACCCGCCACACUGGAACUGAGACACGGUCCAGACUCCUACGGGAGGCAGAAGUGGGGAAUAUUGCACAAUGGGCGCAAGCCUGAUGCAGCCAUGCCGCGUGUAUGAAGAAGGCCUUCGGUUUGUAAAGUACUGUCAGCGGGGAGGCGUUACCCGCAGAAGAAGCACCGGCUAACUCCGUGCCAGCAGCCGCGGUAAUUC
rnacentral:rRNA from 1 species